AUUGAACGCUGGCGGCAGGCCUAACACAUACAAGUCGAGCGAGCGGCGGACGGGUGAGUAAUGCCUGGGAAUUGCCAAGUCGAGGGGGAUAACAGUUGGAAACGACAGCUAAUACCGACUACGAUUUGAUUGCCUAGGUGGGAUUAGCUAGUGGGUGAGUUAAUGGCUCACCAAGGCGACGAUCCCUAGCUGGUCUGAGAGGAUGAGCAGCCACACUGGAACUGAGACACGGUCCAGACUCCUACGGGAGGCAGCAGUGGGGAAUAUUGCACAAUGGUGGAAACCCGGAUGCAGCCAUGCCGCGUGUGUGAAGAAGGCCUUCGGGUUGUAAAGCACUUUCAGCGAGGAGGCGUUACUCGCAGAAGAAGCACCGGCUAACUCCGUGCCAGCAGCCGCGGUAAUAC
rnacentral:rRNA from 1 species